rnacentral:misc_RNA from 1 species
AAAAAAGUAAUAUUUUUUUUUUUAAUUUCCUAAGAAAAACCAUAAUUUCAAUUGCAUUGUUAUUGUCGAAAUCUAAAAGACUCAACUAGCAAGUGCAAAAGUAGGAAUGAUGCUUUGAUUGAUUCCUUCUUACAGGCAAAUAAUUGAUUAAAAGAACACCGUAUGUUGUUUAUUUUUUACUUGUAAGAGCUCUGCUGUGCAAACCAACUGGUCAAGACUUCGCCCUAACACCACAAAAAUUCACACCCUACAUAAUUCCAUUUGGAUUUUCAUGUCGGUUUCAUCAGGGCUUUCUUCUAAUCGUAAACAACCCACGUCCACCAAAAUGUGAACUAGAUAGUAUAGUUCACAUAUUGCUUGGGUAAAACCAGUACCAAUUUAACCAGAACCAACCGUGUUCGAAAAUUGUUCUUUUCAUGCAUGUUUGAAAUCAGUAAACAAACAUGAUUUGGAUUUUUUCUCCAGUAGCUAAAUAAAAAAGUAUAUAUAUAUAUGUGUGUGUGU